AUCGGAGAUUUUAACGAAAUUCUAAUGCCAAGUGAGAGGAAAGGUGGGAAUCCUCGACCACCGUAUAUGCUUCAAGGAUUUAGUGACUGACUAUUUGAAUGUGACCUGGAUGAGUUGAGUUUUUUUGGAGAUCAGUUUACAUGGAGACGCGGUGAUACUCGGGAGAGACUGGAUCAGACUGUAGGCAAUGAGGGAUGGUAAACAAAGUUUCCACUGGCGAUGGUUGUUCACGAGCACCAUGUGCACUCUGAUCAUCGGCCACUCUUGUUUGACAUAGACUAUUGUGAUGGAUCUUAG
rnacentral:rRNA from 1 species